rnacentral:tRNA from 1 species
GGCGGAGUAGCUCAGUCGGUAGAGCAGCGGACUCAUAAGCCGUUGGUCGCCGGUUCAAGUCCGGCCUCCGCCACCA